rnacentral:rRNA from 1 species
ACGCUCGACACCUACGGGAGGCAGCAGUGAGGAAUAUUGGUCAAUGGACGCAAGUCUGAACCAGCCAUGCCGCGUGCAGGAUGACGGCUCUAUGAGUUGUAAACUGCUUUGUACGAGGGUAAACGCAGAUACGUGUAUCUGUCUGAAAGUAUCGUACGAAUAAGGAUCGGCUAACUCCGUGUCAGCAGCCGCGGUAAUCUGAGCGGGCUGGCAAGGC